UGAUUUUUUGUCCCUGUAAUUAUUACUUCAAUUAUGUAUAUAAUUCUACAAGCAAAUAACAUUUGAGUGCUUUUACUUUAAAAUGUCGGUUUUCAUGUGGUUUGUUAUUUGGUGUUUGUUUGUAAGAAUGUAUCCUCAAUUUUGCAUAUAAAUUUUACUCUGUAUUCCAAGUAAUAUUCACUAAACUACUCCAUUAACUUUAUUAGUUGAAAUGUGCAAGUAAAAUGUACUUGGGUGAUAUCAGUGAACCUGGCAACCUCCCUUGCACUCGGUGUGUGACGUCAGGCCGUUCGUUGCAUGCUGUGCUGUUGAGUGCCUCUGCCCUCGCACAUGUGGACACCUGAGACCGUGGAUCAGCAGUGGGAUUUUAGUCGACAUGGGACCGCGGAGAACCUAAGGUCAUUUGCUCAUCACUUUGCAAUUUCCAGUCCACAGCUGAGAUAAGGAUGUCAGCCAAGAGGCAGUGAAGGAGGACUGCAGUCAACACUUGAUGAAAGUCAUCGUCAUCUGUCAGAACCUGGAACAGGAAAGCCAAGACCUCAGCUAUGUGUCUGUAGUCAUAGAGGGGAAAGAGGUGUUGGAGGACUGCAGGAGUGUGGCAAAUGCUUGUCUGCUCCUCAUGGGUGUCAUUUAUGCAGUCAAUCUGAGUUACCCACUGAAACUCAAAUACACAUUUGAGGUAUUUCAGAAAAUGCUUCUUGAGCUCGAUGCUCUCAAAAUGUCUUCAAAGGUCCAGGCUCUCCACAGGAAACUACUAGCAUGAGUGUGUUGAAUGCUGCAGUGUUUUGAAUCCAUGUGCCCAUGCACAGGAAAGGUUUUUAGUUCUUGUUCUUCUCACAUUUCCUUCUGUGAUCACAGCGAUCCAGUGUUAGUAGACAGUUGAUUCAGUUGCUGUUGUGAUACCUCUUCUCUGUUCUGAGGUUUAAAAGAAAGGAAUACCCUACAUAUGGGAAAUUGCCAAGGUGUGCGUGCGUGUGCGUGUGUCAUUUCUGAAAGUCAUUUCUUCCCCAAUUUUUAGAAAUCUGUGAAUAUUUGGAAGAAAGUGUCAUCAGCAGCAGGUCAUGUUUUCUUUUAAGAGGAUAUUCACACUAAUUCUCCAUUGAGUGUGUGGGAGGAUUCCUCACCUGCAAUACAAAGGCUGUGUUUAUUAGAUUUUAAAGGAUGUUCACUGUUUCUCACUGUUUCUCAGCCCUAUUGUGUGUGGACAGGAGUGUGCGUACGUGUGCAUGUGUGCAUGAGUGGGUGUCUGUCUGUAAUGAGACAGAAGUGUGUGUGUGUGUGUGUUUUCAAUCUUUGUUCAUGUACACCAAAGGAAGGUUAUGAUGUUAUGUAGACAUACAUAUAUGUCAGUGCAAAUUGGAAAAUAAAAUGUCCAUUUGAAAAAUUGAAAAUGUUUAUUUAUUCACUUCACAGAAAUGGCAACAAAUUUAUUGUGGUAAUGUGAAGUCAUAAAUUAAAUUUAAUUCAAGUAAAUAUUACUUAAUCAUUUCAUAGAAUUAAACAAAGAAAAGCUUAGUUAAAUAAGAGUAAGAACCACCUGAAAUAUUUAACUGGAUUUUGCAAUUAAAAUGCAAUGGUAAUUUAGUAAAAUUUACUUCCAAUAGGUGAGUUCUGCUUGUGAGAUUUACUUGAGUAUUUUUUGUAAAGAAAAGGUGUUUUUAGGAAGUAAAUGCUACUUAGAAUUAUCCUGAGUAAAAAUUACAAGGGAUUUCCGUGUGGAAAAACUUGCCUAGCUUUUUUUAAGUAAAUGUCACUCCAAAUUUUUUUCAGUGCAGAGGGGCAA